rnacentral:rRNA from 1 species
UGGAUUAGUGGCGAACGGGUGAGUAACACGUGGGCAAUCUGCCCUUCACUCUGGGACAAGCCCUGGAAACGGGGUCUAAUACCGGAUAACACUCUGUCCCGCAUGGGACGGGGUUAAAAGCUCCGGCGGUGAAGGAUGAGCCCGCGGCCUAUCAGCUUGUUGGUGGGGUAAUGGCCUACCAAGGCGACGACGGGUAGCCGGCCUGAGAGGGCGACCGGCCACACUGGGACUGAGACACGGCCCAGACUCCUACGGGAGGCAGCAGUGGGGAAUAUUGCACAAUGGGCGAAAGCCUGAUGCAGCGACGCCGCGUGAGGGAUGACGGCCUUCGGGUUGUAAACCUCUUUCAGCAGGGAAGAAGCGAAAGUGACGGUACCUGCAGAAGAAGCGCCGGCUAACUACGUGCCAGCAGCCGCGGUAAUACGUAGGGCGCAAGCGUUGUCCGGAAUUAUUGGGCGUAAAGAGCUCGUAGGCGGCUUGUCACGUCGGAUGUGAAAGCCCGGGGCUUAACCCCGGGUCUGCAUUCGAUACGGGCUAGCUAGAGUGUGGUAGGGGAGAUCGGAAUUCCUGGUGUAGCGGUGAAAUGCGCAG